rnacentral:rRNA from 1 species
UACGUAGGGUGCGAGCGUUUAAUCGGAAUUACUGGGCGUAAAGUGUGCGCAGGCGGCCGAGCAAGUCGAGUGUGAAAGCCCCGAGCUUAACUUGGGAACUGCGCUCGAAACUACUUGGCUAGAGUGUGGCAGAGGGAGGUGGAAUUCCACGUGUAGCGGUGAAAUGCGUAGAGAUGUGGAGGAACACCGAUGGCGAAGGCAGCCUCCUGGGCCAACACUGACGCU